rnacentral:lncRNA from 1 species
GUUUUGAUAUCUAGACCUCAUAGGUGGGAGAUAGCUAAUACAUACUUACAAGACAUUUAUUGCAUAGUCAAACCAUGGAUCCAGAGAAACAAGUCAAUAAGUCAAAUCAAGAUGUGCAUGUGUGGCGAAUGAAUGAUGUAUGGUGAUGAUGGUGAUAAUGGUGAAAACAAUGGUGAAAGUCUAAUUCUACUUUUGCUCUUUUGGGGGGAUACAUACCUUUCUUGCACUUUGAAGCUUUUUGAGGAGAAUGAGAUGCUCUACAUUUUUUUUUCUCUCAGGUGGGUAUCUUGUACCCCUAAUUCUACUGUCGGACACUUGUCCAUUUUUACCUCUCGUCUCACUUUUUCUUUUCUUCAAGGUUUCGGGCACUUUUUAUUUCCUCCUAUUCUCUUUUUUCAGAGCACUCACCCUCCUGGAAUAAUGUAGCAAGUGGUAGUAACCAAAAUAUCUUGAGCAUUUAUUUCACGGGGAAUAACAGGGAUAGGAUAAUGUUUUUGGCUAUUCUCUCCCGGAUAGGAGUAGAAUAAUUCUGGGUGAAUCUGGAGAUGGAAAUGAGUGGAUGUAUGUGGAUGCGUACUUUCGGAGUAGAAGUAGCAUGUAUGAGUGGACGUGCAAGUGAAUCUUGAUUUUGACCGCAUGACAAGCUCCUAAGGGUCUACACAGCUUGACCACACUCAAUGCUCAUAAGUAGUAAAAAGUAAAUGUAUGGUUCAUAGUCUAAUAAGCAUGUAUAUGUGGCUGUGGUAGGAUUUUAAACUCUCAUCAUACAGUAACUCAUCAUGCAACAAUUUAAAAAUUUUCAAAGAUAAAAUUCUCUAGAAUUCUAGCAUCUCUUGGAACAGAUAAACAGCAGCUCAACUUUCCCAUAUCAUAUCCGUUAACGACUUAGACUUUAGAUCAAGUACUCUUCCCACAAGUUCAGGUUUAGAGAAAAUCUUAAUUCAUAACAGUCAUGCCUAAACUUGAGAGAGAAUUCAAUUUUGAAAACUAGUCAUGGCAGAGCAACUAUUCAUCAUUUCCAUGUGAGAGCUUAUCAUGAGGGUUAUAGCAAACUUUAUUUAUUUAUUUAUUUAGCAAACUAAGCAAAGAUAUAUAUAUAAUUAUAAAAUCUUUAUUUGGUUUUUUUAUGAUUAUGCAUCUUUUUAUUAUUUGAGUAAAAACACUUAGCUAGAUAAAUGGGGGUGCUCUUCUCCAAGCUGGAUUUUGACGUAAUUUCUUCUGAUGUAGCUAGUAGGUGGCGAAGGUGUAUUUGAAUGUCGGCAGCACCCUGACAGCGAUUAGGAUGUCCUCCGUCUGCUAGUCUUCUUUGAUCCUUUAAUUCUGUGGAGCUCAAAAAGACAACAAAGCUUUGUGGAACUGGUUAAGUGUUAGCAUAAAAAUCUCUUUGCCUUUAUCAUGUUGAGCUUCCUCUAAUAAAUAUUACUCUCUUUGGUAGGAUCAUAAAUUUAUUUUUAUAUUUUCAUUUCUAUAGGACAGGAAUAUAUUUAUUUUUAUGCCACCACAGUGAAUGUUCUUAUGGGUUUUAUGCCACGAGCAUACUCACAUGUGGCUUACUGUUUUUAACAUUUUUAUUUCUUUUCAAGAUAGCAUGAUUAACUAACAAGCCAUUUAUGGAAAGUAAAUAAUUUAAGGGAAAAGGGAAUGCAGAAAGGAUAAAUAUGGAUAACUACCGAUUUUACCUUUCGGCAAGGGUUCAAUGUUUUAAGUCUUCCGAACAACACUUCUCACCGUGUUCAUUCUUUAGGUGCGUCAUUUGAUUCAGGUUUGGACCUUGACGUCUGCACCUCUUGAUACGGUGUCACCCAUGUUCUUCGUUUGCCUAGCAGUUCGAAGUGCGGCGUUGGCAGUAUCUUGCUCUGUGUGUUUGUGCUCGUAGAUCCAAGUCCUUCACUUGGUAGAGUCUCAGAGUUCAAAAAAUCCUCCAUGUUUCUCAAAAUGUGUCCUGCUCAUAGAGACAAGGUAGAGAUCAAGUGCAUGGGUCCUGUUGGUGGAAAACACCAACAGAACCAAAAGUAUAUUUAUUCAUCUCUAUCCUUAAGCAUAGGGAGCAAGACAAAGUUGAUGGGUGAUAAGUUCAUGUGUGUAGCAUUUAAAACAUUUGUCAGAUCAGAUCGCUUAACCUUAUGGAAAGAUAAUCUAUCUAUGUAUAUGUCUUUUUCUUUAUAUCUUCCCAAAUAUUGAAUGUGCAACAUUUUAGCUCAUAUGAUUCGGAGUGUGGGAUCACAAAGGUGGAAGGACUAAACAUGUUGAAUCGAUUGGGUUGGUUAAUCUAGAGUUAUAAAUCAUACAUGUUUGUCUCUUUAUUUAUGUGAAUGCCAGAACCAAGGAGAAGCUCAUAAAAAUGAUAGUCACAUAUCUUAACAUGUUACCUUAAUUGAAGAGUGAUGGUACCAUCUCACCUUGUGGAAGCUUCUCAUUCGUAGUGGUUGUGUAUCUUGUUUAUGUACUUUGUCUCCUUCCAUGGAUCAUCUCUCUAUGAUGAAUGAGCUAUGUCCCUCUUGUGCAAAUUGUUAAACUUCAUGUCUCUCUCUCUUCAUCUCUGAUGUGAGUUUAUCUCAGGACUUCCCAAAUUGAUAUUGAAAGUUUUUCUGUAGGGGAUAGUCCGACAAAAUAUACCAAUGUCUACACAAGCAGUUUUUAGUUCAAUAACCGAACUAGACUCCAUGUCUAAUCAGAUUAAGGAAGGUUGUUUAACCUAAGCACCAUGCUUAAUUUAAAAGCUUAUAUAAGUAUGUGCAGUACUUCCAAACUAACACUUACUAGGAUAAACAAAGGUAGUGUGAUGGCUUUUAUAGAGAUCUACUCAAGUGGAGAUGAAGUAGUGUGAUUAGUAUUUAAUCAAUUGAGCAUGUCUCAAAGGUAGGGACAACCAACAUAGCAACAUGGCAAAGGAUGUUUUUAUGUAAGGUACUCCCCCAAGCUUGAAUUUUGCAAAAUUCAAGUUUGGAUGAAUUUAAUUCAGUGUUGCAUGAUGAUUGGUUGGACAUACCUUGUGCUUGUCGUUCAUCGGAUCUUCUUGCUCUAAUCCUGGAAAGGUUAGUGACAAGAAUACCCGAAGGAAUAUUUUUACAAUUAUCCUUAUAUGCUCAAUACACCAGGUAAUGUUGCAAAAAGCUCAUGUUACGAUCUGAUGAGUGCUUAUUUUAGGACACUAAGCUUGUCCUUGGGAAACCAUCAGUUUAUGUUGGCGAAGUCGUUUCCCCUCUGACGCCAACCUUUGUAUAUCAAGAUUAGCUCAACGAGAUCUGAAAUAUUUAUUAUAGACAUAUGCAUCGACAACCGCCCUUUUAAAGUUUUGGUAAAUAGAAAGGAAGAGGGGGUUGGAGAUCUCAAAUGUGGUGAUGUUGGAGAGACCAAUAGAUUGGGAAGAUAUUUCAUAUGAGCAUGGAGUAAACGAAGUGGGUAUGAAAUAAAUUCCAUGCUCAUUAAUGUUAUCUUCAUCUAUAAUCUGAAUGUUCAAAGUUUCUCUUGGAUUGGUCCCGUCUAUGUCCUCUUCUAUGGAUGGAUGAAUCUCAUAUUCAAGGGGAGUUAAAGAUUCAACAUCUGAAAUUGAGUCAAGGUCAGAAUCCAUUAAGGCUUCUUCCUUGUCCAUCCACUUUACACAUUCUAGCCAUUUAGAACUUGUGAUCAGGAAAGUGGAGGUGUUAGAAUUUUCUAUAUGGCUUAGCUCUCCUUCUAUGACAUUACUUAACAUGUCAUCCUCAUGGUCAUUAUGACUCCUAUGGUAUGAUCGUCUUGAUAGAUUGCUAGGAUCAUCAUAAGACUGAAAAGGAGGGGGAUAAGAGGGGUCUCUAAGGUCAAGGAUGGAUUUAGAAUUUGUGAACAUGGAAGGGGAGCAGAUAGAAUCUUCUAUAUGGUUUAGCUCUCCUUCACUUGAUAUGUCAUCCUCGACUUCUUCAUAACAGGAACCAGGACAUUCUUUAAGAGAACCAUUAUUGCAAGGAUUUGAAUUAUCCCUGCUUGAAGGUCUCUUAUGGAACCAGAAGUCUAAACCAUCAGGAUCUGAAAGAUUUAAGGUUGGAAUUCCUUCCUCCCUUAGAGAAUUUUGGGGUAUUGAUGGGUUAGGAUCGAUAGCUAAAGUUUGGGAUUGAAGUGGUUGUAAUUUAGCUAUCAAAACUUCCUCUUCUAGUCUAGGAACUGAUUCUUUCUCUUUCUCAGGGAUAUAAAUGCUAGGAGACAUUCUGCUCAUUAAAUCAAUCAAAUUCCAAGCUUCACUAGCGGACAUGUGGUGGAAAGAUCCUCCAGAGGCCGCAUGAUGGGUUUACUUAUUUUCCCUACUAAGGCCCUUAAAAAGUGAAUUAGAAGAACUUCUUCUGGAAUAGAAAGCUUUGGGCCAGUGAGAGUAAGGUCAAUAAAGCGGUCCUAUGAUUCACCAAGAGAUUCUUCUUCUAAUUGUCUAAAAGAAAGAAUCUCGAGCCAAAGAUCCUCCACUUUGGAGAUCGGAAAAUAUUUUUAGAGAGAAAACUAUUGUAUAGCUCCUUCCAAUCUCCAUGAGCACUUCCUAUGUUGAGUUUAUACCAAUGUCUAGCUUUUCCCGUUAAAGAGAAGGCAAAGAGCUUCCAUUUAAGGGUCUCAUCAUACAUGCCUUCAAUGCGAAGGAGGUCACGGUCUCGAUAAAACUCUCUUAGGUGUGUGUAUGGGUUUUCCGCACCUUCUCCUGAGAAAGGUUGUUUUUGAAGAAAUUCUAUGUAUUCCAGGCUUAUCUCAAAACCAGAUGUCAUGAUAGGCUUUGAAGAUCUUAGUGGUUCGAGAUGUGUGCCCGUAGGUCUACUAAACUGAUAGAUAGACAUGUUUGCCUUCAUGAUAGACCAGAGAUUAAGGAUUAGAUAAGAAGAAAGAAUAGCAGAGAUAAGGCAAAGGAUAAAAAGAAAUAUAUAUAUAUAUAUAUAUAUAUAUAUAUAUAUUUAUUUAUUUAUUUAUAUUUUUUUAGAAAAUGAUUAAGCUAGUUCGUAGUCAACUCAGCAGCCGUUUCCCUGACAACGGCGCCAAAAAGCUUGUUGACACUUGCUAACACCACUUGAAUACUAGGUUGUCAUCCCCAGUAUGGCACUAGAGUGUACUAUGGUAUUUAUACGCACACAGAUAAUUCCGCAAGCGCACGGAUACCGUUGUAGCUUUUACCCGGUUAAAGGUUUUAUCGUAUCCACAGGGAAAUGGGAGAACCAACUACGCUCUAACUUAACCAAAAUAGAUAGAUAGGUGUAAAUAGAAAAGAUGGUAGAAUUGAAUAAGAACAAUAUUAAAGGUAAGAUAACAAUGGGUGAUAAUCGGGGAAUAGAGAGUAGAGCAAUCUAAUAUAUGGGCGAUAAUAGGAGAAUAGAGAGGAUAACAAGGGUUUCUCUACUUCAAAGGGGUAUGAAUAUGUCUAGGACGAACCACGAGAUAAGAUUACACCACAAAGGAUGCUUAUCCAUAGGCCGAUAAACCCUACCAGUCCUGCUAAUGGGAGGUGGACUACAGGGGACCAAUGUAGCUAUCACCCACGCGGCCUACCAAACGAUCCGGCUAACAGGGGAUAUCCACAAGUAAUCUAGGUCUAAGCACCAUGCUUACACCUAUACUACAACUCUCACCUAUAGCGUCCUAUAGAUUAAAGUACUCAAAAGAGUUGUGAACCAGAACAUACAUGGAUAGUAAUUGCAUAAUGAAAUAAGAAGUAGAUUACCAGAGUCAUCCCAUGAGCAAGCUUGAUUAGAGCUUAAUCAUGGCGAAGUACAACCGGAGGAAGAACCGACAGGCCAGCUUCUCCUCCAAUCCUCCCUCGCUCUCCAUCUCGCUACUAUCUAGAUCUACUCUAGUUUAGAGAUGAGAGGAGUUCUCUCAUCUCCAAACCCUAGCUUUUGCUCUGUCUAUGAAUAAUGAAUAAGGAUGAAGGGGUUCCUCCUCCAAGGGCCAGGGGUCCUGCUCAUAUAGCCCUUCCAAAUGAAUGUGGGCCGUCGGAUCAAACCGACCUUAAUCGCAUGGUUUUCCUUGAUCCUUUUGGUCGGUGGAGCAUAAUCCGUGAGGCGGAGCCUGAUUGGUUCCUGUAGCAGGGCGGGCGCCCAAGGGGGAGGGCGGGCGCCCUGUCCCCGAGCCCGCUCGGCGUCCCGUUCGUUCCCGUGGCUUUUGGUGUCUUCUAGAUGAUAGAAAAUUGACACAUGCAUUAAUAUCUCUAUGUAAACCUGAUGUGUGGGCCUUUCCUCCAUAUUUCCUGAUAACCCCAUGUAGAAAUAGACAAACACCAAAACUCGUGGAAUUCUGUCACACAAAACCCUAUGUCUGGGUGUCACAUAAAACUCGUAGAAAUAGACAAACCCCUGGAGAAGGCACCCCUUCAUCCUUAUUCAUUAUUCAUAGACAGAGCAAAAGCUUGGGUUUGGAGAUGAGAGCUCUCCUCUCUUCUCUAAACUAGAGUAGAUCUAGAUAGUAGCGAGAUGGAGAGCGAGGGAGGAUUGGAGGAGAGGCCGGCCUGUCGGUUCUUCCUCCGGUUGUACUUCGCCAUGAUCAAGCUCUAAUCAAGCUUGCCCAUGGGAUGACUCUGGUAAUCUACUUCUUAUUUCAUUAUGCAAUUACUAUCCAUGUAUGUUCUGGUUCACAACUCUUUUGAGUACUUUCAUCUAUAGGACGCUAUAUGUGAGAGUUGUAGUAUAGGUGUAAACGUGGUGCUUAGACCUAGCUUACUUGUGGAUAUCCCCUGUCUAGCCAGAUCGUGUGGUAGGCCGCGUAGGUGACAGUUACGUUGGUCCCCUGUAGUCCACCUCUUGUUAGCAGGAUUAGUAGGGUUUAUCAGCCUAUGGAUAAGAAUCCUUUGUGGUGUAUUCUUAUCACAUGGUUCUCCCUGACAUAGACAUACCCCUUUGAAGUAGAGAAACCAUAGUUAUCCUCUCUAUUCUCCUACCACCGCCCUGUCCCCGAGCCCGCUCGGCGUCCCAUUCGUUCCCGUGGCUUAUGGAGUCUUCUAGAUGAUAGAAAAUUGCCACACACGUUAAUAUCUCUAUGUAAACCCAACGUGUGGGCCUUUCCUCCAUAUUUCCUGAUAACCCCCUACAGAAAUAGACAAACACCAAAACUCGUUGAAUUUUGUCAGAUAAAACCCUACGUCUGGACGUUGGUCGCAUUUGGAUCCUUUUCUUUAUUUAUUUAUUGAUUAAAUUUGAUACUUAUGGAUCGUCAACACUCGGGAUUGUCGCGGUGCAAAGGCGAACAAGAUGCGCUAGGAAGGAAGCGGAAGGAGGCACGGUGGCGCGCUGGCCACGCGAGCAGCGACGGCGCUCACGCCGGAUAAGAGGACGAGGGCGAAUAGGGCCUACUGAGCAUCUCAAGGUGCUAGGAGGUGCGUUUGGUGACGGUGAGGUGGAAGCGGAGCUCGAGGAGGAAGGAAUCAAGGAAUGGCACGCUCGUCGGAGAAGAAUGGCCGUGGGGGUGCUCAUGAGCUCCAAUGGCGACGGCGGCGCUGGUGCGGUUAGAGUGAGGGUGAGGAGGCGAGAGAGAGAGCGAGAGUGAGCGCACGGGAGAGAGGAGAGAAUGGCAAGUGCACUGGGAAUGAUGGCAGGCGAGGGCAAGGUCGUGGCGCUGGCCGGGUGCGCAUGCCGGCCAUGCGGCGUCGCGGCCCUCAUGUGGUCGGGCGCGCGCGGCACUAUCGUUGUGGCGAGCGAGAGAAGGGAUGAGAGGAAAGGGCGGGGCUGGGCUGGCUUCACUGGCUGGGCUGGUUGGUAUCUACAAGGAGCAACCACUAGUUACUCAUUCCUUGGUAUCUACUAUACCCAUAGGUUGCUCCUUGUCUUCUAGGUCUGCCUUUAUCUUGAUCCCCCUAGGUUCAAUCCUUUGCUUAGGCACCUUCAAACACUUUCUUAGCUGGGACACAUGGAAAACGGAGAAGAUAGAACUUAACUCAUGAGGCAACUAUAUCUUGUAGGCCACAGGGCCUUUCCGCUCCACUAUCUGAUACGGUCCCACGUACCUUGGUGCAAGCUUACUUCGGACCUGAAACAUUGAACUUUAUUCAUUGGAGUAACAUUGUGGUAAACAUAGUCACCUACAUCAAACUCAAGCGGUCUCUUCUCUUAUUGGCAUAGAUUUUCUAACAUGAUUGUGCGGCUUUCAUGUGUUGCUAUAUGAUCUGUACCUUUUUCUCCCUUCGUUCAUGAAGUCAAUGCCAUAGUAUCUCCUCUCACUAGGUUCUACCCAGUUUAAUAGAGUUCUACACUUUUGACCAUACAGAGCUUUGAAUGGAGCCAUCUUAAUGCUCUCUUGCUAGCUAUUGUUGUAAGAGCAUUCAGCCAAAGGUAACCAUGAUUCCCAAGAUCCCUUUGAAGAUAACACACACGCUCUCAACAUAUCUUCGAGUACCUGAUUAAGUCUCUCUGUCUGGCCUGAGGUUUGAGAAUGAUAUGUUGUACUUCUCACUAGGCUGGUGCCCAAACUCUUGUGCAUUUGUUCCCAAAAAAGAGCGGUGAACCGCGAACCUCUAUCCGAUAUGAUAGUCUUGGGAAUACCAUGCGGCUUGACAAUCUCAGCUAUAUAUAAGUCAGCAAACUUGGGAGGUUUGUAUCGUGUCUUAACCGAGAUCAAAUGAGCCGAUUUGGUUAACUGAUCCACAAUAACCCAAAUCAAGUCAUUUCCUUUCUUUGUAGUCAGCAGUCCUAUGAUAAAAUCCAUACUGAUCUCUUCUCACUUCCAAUCUGGAACUGAUAGCGGUUGCAAGAGCCCUGCUGGCUUCAUAUGUAUGGCCUUGACCCUACAACACGUGUCGCAGCGGGCCACAUAGGCUGCUAUUUCCUUCUUCAUUUUGGUCCACCAGAAGUGGGGUUUCAGAUCUUGGUACAUCUUGCUGCUCCCUAGAUGGAUGGAAAACUUUGAAAGAUGUGCUUCAUCCAUGAUCUGAUUCUUUAGCUCUCAAUUCUUAGGGACCACUAACCGAUUCUAAAACCAAAGUACCACUCUUUCAUCCACUCGAAACUGGGUAUUGGGGUCAUCCUUGAUCUUUUCCUUGAGAUGAAAAAUACCCUUAUCUAUUUUCUGCCCCUCUCUGACUUGACUCUUGAGUGAGCAACUGAGCUGUAUGUGACAUAGAACUUUAGGGUGCAUCUGGUGGAACCCAUCCUCGAACAACGGCUGGACCAUCUGGUAGUGUGGUUUACGGCUCAAAGCACCCGCCACGACAUUUGCUUUGCCUGGGUGGUAGUGUACUUCAAGGUCAUAGUCCUUGAUCAACUCCAACCAUCUUUCUUGCCUCAUAUUCAACUCGGAUUGAGUGAAAAUGUACUUAAGGUUCUUAUGAUCUGUGUAGAUAUGACACUUAUUUCCAAGCAGAUAAUGCCUCCAAAUUUUUAGAGCAUGCACAACAGCUGGAAGCUCAAGAUCAUGUGUCGGAUAGUUGACUUCAUGUUUUCUCAACUGGUUUGAAGCAUAGGCUAUAACUCUGCCCUCUUGCAUAAGUACACAUCCCAAACCAUUCCUUGACGCAUCACAAAACACAUCAAAAGACAUCUCGAUGUCCGGUUGUGCCAAAACAUGAGCAGUGGUCAGCAGCUUUCGCAAAGUACGGAAGGCUACUUCACACUCUUCUGUCUAGGGAAACUUAUGAUCCUUUUGUAGUAAACUAGUCAUUGGCUUAGCAAUAUUGGAGAAGUCGGGGAUAAAAUGAUGAUAAUACUCGGCUAACCCAAGAAAGCUUCGAUCCUCUAAGACAGAAGUUGGGGCCUUCCAGUCCAUGACCUCUGGUACUUUUAGUGGAUCUACGGCAAUCCCUUCUUCUGACAGAAUGUGCCCUAGAAAUGGAACCUUCUUAAGCCAAAACUCACACUUGUUUAACUUUGCAUAUAACUGAUGUUCUUGCAGUCAAGUCAGUAGAACUCUUAGAUGCUUGGCAUGAUCUUGCUCAUUCUCUAAAUCUAGCAUGAGGACUGAAUUCAUCACAUACAUAAAGUAUGAAGGAGCAUUUGUCAAUCCAAAGGACAUGACAAGAUACUCAUACAACCCAUAUCUGGUAGAAAAGGCAGUCUUUGGUAUGUCUUGCGGUCGAAUCUUGAUUUGGUGAUACCCAGACCUCAGAUCUAUCUUGGAGAACACCUUUGCUUUAGACAAGUGAUCAAACAGAGUGUCGAUUCAUGGUAAAGGAUAUUUGUUCUUGAUUGUCACAGCAUUGAGCGGAUGAUAGUCCACACACAUGCGCAAGGAUUGAUCUUUCUUCUUCACAAAUUGUGCCAGAUGAAACCCUUGUCCAGCAGUUCCCUUAGUUGAUUCUUCAAUUUAGCUAGCUCAUUUGGUGGCAUCCGAUAUGGUCUCCUGGAGAUCGGCGUUGUUCAUGGUAUCAACUCUAUGGCAAACUCCACCUCUCUAUUCGGGGAAGCCCACGUAACUCCUCCAGAAAAACAUCUAGAAACUCACAGGCGACUGGUAUAUGUUCUAGCAGAACUACUUGUAUAGCACAAGAAAGACUGGCAAAGUCAAACCGCCGAGGUAACCUGACCUGAAUUGUGCCAUCACCUUGGGGAUCCUUAAGGGAGAGAGUCCUCUAUCCUACAUCUAUGAUUGCACCCCAAUUUGUCAUCUUAUGCAUGCCAAUUAUAACAUCCAGAACCAACCCUAGCAUGACCACAAGGUUUACAUGAAACCUUUGGCCGCUGAUAUCCAAGGUUGCCCCUAUUACUGCCUUAUUUGUCAACACAUCAGCCCUAGCUGAACUGAUGCAAUAACCAUAACCCAACUUAGUAACGGUUGAAAGGUCCUAAUAUGGGUAGAGGGGGGUGAAUAGCCUAUUUAAAAAUCUACAAAGCACUAGAGCAAAGGAUUAAUAUAAUAAAAUGCGUAAAACAAUUUUGCUCUAGCUCUACAAAAGUUGCAAGCCGCCUAUUCAAUAAUUCUAGUUACUAUGAUCACUAAGCACAAGCAACGACUAUGUGACUACUCUCUACAACUAGUUACAACUAGCUAAAACUAGGUACUACUAGUUACAACUAGUUUGCAAGAAAGUAAAUGAUGAGUGAUAAUUAUACCGACGUGUAGAGGAUGAACCAAUCACAAUGUAUAUCAAUAUAUUCACCGGAAGAAUACCAAUCACAAUAUUGACACCAAUAUUUUUCUCCCGAGGUUCACAUGCUUGCCGGCACGCUAGUCCCCGUUGUGUCGACCAACACUUGGUGGUUCGGUGGCUAAUAGGUGUUUCACAAACCUAGCCCAACAAAUAGGCACCGCAAGAACCUACCCACAAGUGAGGUAGCUCAAUGACAUGAGCAAUUCACUAAAGUGGCUUUUGGCACUCCAGUAGGGAAUAAGCCCAAGAACCCUUUACAAAUAUCACCUUGAUUGGGGGCUGACACAACCUCCAAAUCUCCUUACCAAUCAACAAAUCCACAACUGUCUAGGUGACGACAAUCACCAAGAGUAAUAAGAAAUCCACAAUUUCAACAAUCACCUAGUGCCACAAGAAUAUGUAGUUUUAAAUGCACCUAGGGUUUCCCUCAAUCCUCUCUUAGAUGAGCACCAAGCUAUGAGAGGGAGAGGAGAGGGAGGAGAUGCUCACGAGCUCACUGGAUCAAUCACGUAGGCCUCUCAAAAAUCUCUCAUAGGAUUAGCACUUGGGAGAGAUGGGAGAGGGAAGCUCGAGUUUUAUGUUCUCUAGAAAGAAAGUAGUGAAGCGUUCUGUUCUGUGUUCACGAGAGACAGAGAGCCAGGAAAAAUGGAGUGCUCGGCCUAAAUCACUUGGACAGCCAGCUCUCUCAACGGGCAACUACAGUGUUGUUUGCCACAACGGGCAGCAGCACAGGCACUGAGUGGCCCUUUGUAUUCUCUCAGCAACGGGUCCCAUCAAAUAAAUGAGCGAGUGGCAAAGAGCUGCAACCUUCAGCAGUCCACGCGCAUGCACUCCUACCACUCUCCAUUUUAAAUGGGACGAGGUGCAUCUCAAAACAAUUGAGUACCUCCUUGUACUUGAGUGGACCCCACGCUAUAAAUAGCAAAGGUCAAUGGCUGCCUCCUUUUCUCAAAGUGUGUUCACAUUUGCAUGCAGCCAUGAAAAUCAUCUUUCUCUCUCUCUCUCUCAUUUAUUAUGGCAAGAGCUCCACAACAUGCAACGUAUGCAAGCAUGGUCCCUGACUGUCAUUCCUUCUUAUGCACGAGACAGACAGCAAGCAGCAGCUGUAAAUUCUUUCAACUGAUUCCAACUAGUUGCAACUGCUUUCAGCUCUCUUUCAUCUGCCUGUUGUUGGGCUGCACACUUGAUUCGACUAGUUGCAACUACCUCCAGUUACCUACAACCACACUCAUUUGCCUGCUGUUGAGCCGUGCACUGAUUUUAACUGGUCGCAACUGCUUCCAGCUUCUUGCAAAUAUAUUCACCCGCUUGCUGUUUGAACUGUCCACUAGUUUUAACUGAUUGCAACUGCUUCCAACUUGUUUCAACUACUUACAAAAACUUUUCAGCUUGUUUCAGCAGCUUGCAGUUCUUUUACGUCUAGACAGCAGUUCCCCUUCUGUGAAUUUUCAGCACCUUUCAAGUAGCUAAUUUCACCAAAAUAUUCCAAAAUAAAUUGGACAUUUAAAUUAGCUUUUCACAAAUAUUUUUAUAGGCUUUCUCAUGCAACUCACCACGUCACUAAGCGCUAGAUAAAUGCAAAUGAAAAUCAUACUUAGUGGCACUAGAUAACCAUUUCAAUUAAAGAUUUCCCCUCUUUAUAGUACGGUUAUCUAUCCUAAAUCCACUCACACCCACUAGGUGUCUUGAGUGGCAAAACAAAAUGGCCCUAUUAAAAAUACCUUUGCCUUGAGCCCUUUUUGUUUUUCUCUUUCUUCUUUUCCAAGUUGGAGCACUUGAAUAUCAUCUUUUGGUCACCUCCAUCACCAUGACCAUCAUCUAGCCCCAUCACUUGGUGUGUACCAACCUAUCUUUAUAUUUCACUCAUGACAAAGGUUAGUACACAUAGGUUUUCAUCAAUUAUCCAAAACCAAACUAGGGCUUUCACUAGUUGAUCAUGUUUUUGUGCAAAUGCUUGGCUCAUGAAUGAAUGCGAUGAUCCAGAAUCAAACAAAACAACUAUAAGAUGUUGGUUAAUAGGGAACAUACCAGCUGUUACCGGUUCUCCUUCCAGAAUCUCCUCAAUUGAGGUGUGGUGCAUACGGGCUAGGUACGUCGUCUGCUACUUCUUGGGGUGGGGACAUUCCUUGACAAAGUGCCUCAUCUUGUGGCAGUUGUAGCACGGACCCUUGGUCGCGGUGUUGGCAGUAGGUGUUGCAGCUUGAUGGGCCCAUGGCUUUGCUGGAGCCACUGCCACCUUAUACAGCUUCUACUGAGUUGGAUGUCCUGUGAUUCUUCUUUUUGGAGAUCAGAACCUAGCACCCAGGGGAGGAGGACGAUACUGCUGACGCCCUAUCACUGGUGCCCUAGACUGAGACGAACCGGCCUGAAAAGCCCUCUUGCAUGACUUGGAUGCACUAUAGUUGUUGUUAUUGUUCUCUUGGGUCAGGUAGACACUCAUGUAGGCAUUGAAGGUAGCUCGGGUCCCUAUACCAUAGUCUUCAGCAUCUUCGGGCUCCAUCCCCUCUGGAAGCUAGCAAUCUUCUUAGCAUCAGUGUUCACAGACUCUGGAACGUAACGAGCAAGGUUGUUGAAAGCAUGCAGGUAUUCUUUCACAGUCUUGGUCCCCUAUGACAGCUUCAUUAAUUCACCAAUCUUCAUCUCCACUAAGCCUGGGGGAAUAUAGUUUACCCGAAAAGCGGUGGUGAAGCGAUUCUAGGUGAUGGGGGUUCCCUCUGGAUAGGUGGUACGAUGGUGGGAUCACUAAAUCCUAUCAGGCCCCUCCAGUUGAUGCGCCGCAUACUCUGCCUAUAGCUCUUUAGUCAUCCGAAGGAGAUGAAAUUUCUAUUCCAUGGUGUUAAUCCACUCGUCGGCUUCAAGCAGUUCUGUGGCCUCCUUAAAGACCGGUGGUUUGGUGUCCAUAAAGUCCUUGAAGGAACUAUAUCGAUUCACUUCAUGGCCACCCAGGUUAGCCCCACGACGGGUGUUGUCAGCGAUAUUGCAUAGGGCAGCUUCCAUGUUCCACUGCAUUUGUUCUAUGUUUUGCUGACUCCCCAGAAACUGCGCGAAGAACACCUCUGUAGUAUAAGGAAGGGGAGGAGGUGGUGGUGGUGAUGGUGCUCUAUCCUCAUUCCUGCGAGCCCCACCUCCGGACGAACCUUCUCCAGCACCGGGGUUGCGGUUACCCCUGCCACAUGUUUCUACCAUCUACACGUGUCAGUGAUAAGCAAUCGUUAGGAGUUGUUAUCAACCGGUAGAUAUUUAGAAAAUCGUGCCAUAUUGAAUUUACUGACAAGAUUAAAUCCACGCAAUAAACAGAGGCACAAUAAUUCAUCAUCCACACACAACAUCACUAGCCAAUUAUUUAGCAUAUAGCCAACAGGGUUCGCAUACAUCCAAAAUUGCCAGCAUACAUACACUAGACUUUUCAGCAUCAACACAACCGCAUAAAGUCUCACAAAUAACCAAGUCUCAACCGGAUUAAGAGUACAUGCCAUGCAGCAACAACAACAACAAAAGAAAGACUAGCACUCGAGCUCUAGCAUCUACUCGCUAUGGUCGCUAUCCAUGCCGAAACCUUCACCUUCCUCAUCUUCACUUGCUGCCACCUCCAUCUCUAGAUCCUCAUCCAUCUCUUCCACAGAAUCUAACUCAGCUGCUCCAGGAAGAUGAUGGGGAUGGAGCUGGUUAUACAACUGGUGAAUCUCCUCAUGCAAGUUCUCAUUGUACUCCUCAGCAAUAGCUAGUUGCUACUCAAGCUCUAGCUGUCAGGCCCUAAGAGUAUCUUCCUCGUGUCAGGCUUCAUUCCUCUGACCAAGCACAUGAACUAGCAUGCGCUCAUAGUUCCUAUGUGUUGUGGUCACCCUGUCCCUCUACUCUCUCACUACCAGCAUAUCCUGACUCAGCACACUGUUCUGCUAAACAGCCUGGUCCCUCUAUAGAAUCACUCGAGCUAGCUCUGCCUGCAACCUCUCAACCUCACUGUCAAUCUCACAUUGUAGCUGGCGCUUCUCAUUCUGAACUAUCAUCAGAGACCCAGACAAACGCCCCAAACAGCGCUCUAGGCCCCCAUAUGUCUUCAUCAUAGCAAACAUAGCACUCAUAGCUGUACUGUCACUGUGCUGGUCCUCAUCGGCACUCCUCUCUAGAGCACUCCCCUCAGACCGAUCCCACACCGAAGUGUAUUGGUCACCCUAAGGAAACACUUGUUGGGUAUUUUAAACGCAAACAGAAAAAUCCGCAAGCGCACGGAUACCGAUGUAGCUUUCACCCAGGAGUAUUCCAGAGUAUCGAUUUUCCACAGGGAACGUGAGUGUACUAAUUAAGAUUCAAGAUCGCCCAAGGAUAACUAUAUAAUUAUUUUUGGUGGGAAGAGAGGAAGUUUUCUGAGAAUUCUCUAAUUGAUCUAAGAAUCAAGAAUUACUUCAAGAUUAUCUAUUUCGGGACAUCAGAACACUAACCACAGAAAGAGAUGAGAAGGGGGCUAGGAAGCUCUGACUACGGUCCUACAAACACCGAUCCGAAUGAGGUGGAAUACGUCGACCGUUAGGGCUAUCACUACCCUAAGGCUACCACAACAAUCCGCAUGAUUGGGUGUAAUUCAAGGUAAUUGCAAGACUAAACACCACAUCUAAUCUAUUAAUUACUACUCUAAUGUUGCAAAGACUAGAGCACUUGAUGCAAGCGGGAAUCCAAUAAAUAACUUGAAUGUAAAUAAAAGUAAUUAAAGAACUCAGGAAUUAUGAAUUUAAGAAUCUGGAGAACGAUGAAGAACGAACCAGUUGCUACAAAAGUACAAUGUUGAGGAAGAUCCGACAGAUCCUGCUCCUCCUUCUCCGCUCUCCUCUUCUCUCUCCCUAUUUUCUAGAUUACAACUAGAACUAACUAGAACUAGAACUAGAGGACUAGAAAUAGAACUAGAUGAACUAGAACUAGAACUAGAUGAACUAGAGGUAGAACUAGAAGAACUAGAGGGAUCCUCUUGUUGACACUUACUAACACCACUUGAAUACUAGGUUGUCAUCCCCAGCAUGGCACUAGAGUGUACUAUGGUAUUUAUACGCACACAGAUAAUCCGCAAGCGCACGGAUACCGUUGAAGCUUUUACCCGGUUAAAGGUUUUAUCGUAUCCACAGGGAAACGGGAGAACCAACUACGCUCUAACUUAAUCCUAGAUAGAUAAGUAAAUGUAAAUAGGAAAGAUGGUAGAACCGAAUAAGAACAAUAUUAAAGGUAAGAUAACAGUGAGUGAUAAUAUGGGAAUAGAGAUAGAGCAAUUCUGGUAUAUGGGCGAUGGUAGCAGAAUAGAGAGAAUAACUAUGGUUUCUCUACUUCAAAGGGGUAUGUCUAUGUCUGGGACGAACCACGUGAUAAGAGUACACCACAAAGGAUGCUUAUCCAUAGGCCGAUAAACCCUACCCAUCCUGCUAACGAGAGGUGGAGUACAGGGGACCAACGUAACUGUCACCUACGCGGCCUACCACACGAUCCAGCUAGUCAGGGGAUAUCCACAAGUAAUCUAGGUCUAAGCACCACGCUUACACCUAUACUACAACUCUAACCUAUAGGGUCCUAUAGAUUAGAAGUACUCAAAAGAGUUGUGAACCAGAACAUACAUGAUUAGUAAUUGCAUAAUGAAUUAGAAGUAGAUUACCAGAGUCAUCCCAUGAGCAAGCUUGAUUAGGGCUUGAUCAUGGCGAAGUACAACCGGAGGAAGAACCGACAGGCCGGCCUCUCCUCUAAUCCUCCUUCGCUCUCCAUCUCGCUACUAUCUAGAUCUACUCUAGUUUAGAGAAGAGAGGAGAGCUCUCAUCUCUAAACCCUAGCUUUUGCUCUGUCUAUGAAUAAUGAAUAAUGAUCAAGGGGUUGCCUCCUCCAGGGGCCAGGGGGUCUGGUUUUAUAGUCCCCUCAAGUGAACCUGGGCCGUCGGAUCAAACCGACAUUGAUUGAACGGUUAUUCUUGAUCCUUUAGGUCGGUGGAGCAUAAUCCGCGAGAUUGAGCGUGAUUGGCAACAGGAGGUGGGCGGGCGCCCAGUAGGACAGGGCGGGCGCCCUGUCUCUGGCCCCGAUUCGCCUCCGCUUCGGUCUCGUGGCUUCUGGAGUCUUCUAGAUGUAAGAUAAUUGCGCGGCACGUUAAUAUCUUUACGUAAUCCCGACGUGUGGGACUUUCUUCCUUAUUUCCUGAUAACCCCCUGCAGAAAUAGACAAACACCAAAACUCGUGGAAUUCUGUCAGAUAAAACCCUAAGUCUCGAUGUUGAUUUCAUUUGGAUCCUUUUCUUUGUUUAUUUGAUAGUUAAAUUUGAUACUUAAGGACCGUCAACAAACUCCCCCAAGCUUACCUCUUGCUCGUCCCUGAGCAAGGAUAGACUCAGCUAUGGAUCAUAAGUUGUUGCAAUAUCUUUCAAAAUUGACGGUACACAUGCUUUUAAAUGAGGUCUCAUCUCUGAGUUAGAGUAAACUGUCAAGACUUGAAACUUACUUACUUUACCUUUCACCAUGGGACUUGUAACCGUCACUUCUGUCUUGAGUCCAGUCAAGUGCCAUGUCGCUUAUUCUUGAUCAGCUAUAGCUCUGGAGUUUUUGCAGAUUUUCAAAUAAAACUCAGAGAUUCCUUUGUAUGACUCUCUCAUAUCUCUCUUUUGUGGUAUUUCUGGAUCCUUACCAAGGCAGUGAUGGUAUAUGCCUUCUCUCAAAAUAUGUGGUAUUUGUGGUAUAAGGGAUAGUGACAUUGUCUUCUCUCUCACCCUACUCUAAUAAGGCUUUAAUAUCUGGAGCUCAUAGGUGGGAGAUAAAAUAUACAUACUUACAAGACAUUUAUUGUAUAGUCAAACCAUGGAUCCAAAGAAACUAAUCAAUAAGCCAAAUCAAGAUGUGCAUGUGUGGUGAAUGAAUGGUGUAUGGUGAUGAUGGUGAUAACAAUGGUGAAAGUCUAAUUCUACUUUUGCUCUUAUGAGGGGAUACAUACCUUCCUUGCUUUUUGAAACUUUAUGAGGAGAAUGAGAUGCUCUUCUUUUUCUUUUCUCUCAGAUGGGUAUCCUGUACCCCUAAUUCUACUGUCGGACACUUGUCCAUUUUUACCUCUCGUCUCACUCUUUUUCUUUUCUUUCGAGGUUCCGGGCACUUGCCCCUUUUUAUUUCCUCGUUUAUUUUUUUUCUUUUCUUUUUUUUUCUUCUUUUUUUUAGAGCACUCAUCUCUUGAGAUAAUAUAGCAAGUGGUAGUAGCAAGAUAACUUGAGCAUUUAUUUCACAAGGGAAAAACACAGAUGUUUUUGGCUAUUCUCUCCCAAAUUAGGAAUAGAAUAUUUUUAGGUGAUUCUGGAGAUGGAAAUGGAUGGAUAUAUGUGGAUGGUACUUCCGGAGUAGAAGUAGCAUAUAUAUGAGUGAACGUGCAAGUGAAUCUUGAUUUAACCACAUGACAAGCUCCUAAGGGUCUACACAGCUUGACCACACUCAAUGCUCAUAAGCAGUAAAUAAUAAAUAUGUGGCUCAAAGUCUAGCAAGCAUGUAUAUAUGGCUGUGGUAGGAAUUUAAACUUUCAUCAUACAGGAACUCAUCAUGCAACAUUUUAAAGAUUUUUCAAAGAUAAAAUUCUCCAGAAUUCUAGCAUCUCUAGGAAUAGAUAAACAGCAGCUCAACCUUCCCAUAUCAUAUCCGUUAACAACUUAGAUUUCAGAUCAAGUUUUCAUCCCACAAGUUUAGAUCUAGAGCAAGCUUUAAAUUAUAACAGUUAUGUCUAAACUUGAGAGAGAACUUCAAAUUUACAAAUUAGGCAGAGCAACUAUUCAUCAUAUCGAUGCUAGAGUUUUAUUAUUAAGAUUCAGAUUAGCAUAGCCACUUUAUUUAUUUAUUAAACACACUAAGCAAAAGAUAUAUAUAUAUAUAAGCACAAAAUCUUUAUUUGUUUUUUCAUAGUUUAUGUAUUUUAAUAUUCUAAUAUAAUAUAAGUAUAAAGAUAGGUAGAAAUACUUAGCGAGAUAAAUGGGGGUGCUCUCCCCCAAGCUGAAUUUUGACGUAAUUUCUCUUGAUGUAGCUAGCAGGUGGCAGAGGUGUAUUUGAAAGUCAGCAGCAUUCUGACAGCGAUUAGAAUGUCCUCCGUCUGCUAGUCUUCUUGAUUCUUAAAUUCUGUGGAGCUCAAAUAGACAACAAAGCUUGUGGAACUAAUUAAGUGUUAGCAUAAAUAUUUAGCCUUCAUCACGUUGAGCUUCCUCAAUAAAUAUUACUCCCUGUUUUUAUAUUUUUAUUUUAUAAAGUAGAAAAGAAAUAUUUAUUUUAUUUUUAUGCUACCACAGUGAAGGUACUUAUGGGUUUUAUGCCACUCGUAUACUCACAUGGGGCUUAGUAUUUUUUAACAUUUUUAUUUUCUUUUCAAGAUAGCAUGAUUAACUAAUAAUCUAUUUAAGGAAAGUAAAUAAUUAAAGGGAAACGAGAAGGCAGAAAGGAUAAAUAUGGAUAACUACCAAUCUUACCUUUCGGCGAGGGUUCAAUGUUUUAAGUCUUCUUGACAAGACUUCUCACCGUGUUCAUUCUUCAGGUGCGUCAUUUGAUUCAGGUGCGGACCUUGACGUCUGCACCUUUUAAUACGGUGUCACCCAUGUUCUUCGUUUGCCCAGCAGUUCGAAGUGAGGUGUUAGCAGUAUCUUGCGCAGUGUGUUUGUGCUCGUAGUGUACCUGCUCAUAGAGACAAGGCAGAGAUCAAGUGCAUGGGCCCUGUUGGUGGAAAACACCAACAGAACCAAAAGUGUAUUUGUUCUUCUCUAACCUUAAGCAUAGUGAGCAAGACAAGUUGAUGGAUGAUAAGUUCAUGAGUGUAGCACUUAUAACAUUUGUCAGAUCAGAUCGCUCAACCUUAUGGAAAGAUAAUCUAUCUAUGUAUAUGUAUUUUUCUUUAUAUCUCUCAAUGAUUGAAUGUGUAACAUUUUAGCUCAUAUGAUUCGGAGUGUGGGAUCAUGGAGGUAGUACUAAGAACAAGGAUUAAAGGACUAAACAUGUUGAAUCAGUUAGGUUGGUUAAUCUAGAGUUGUAAAUCAUACAUGUUUGUCUCUUUUAUUUAUAUGAACGCUAGAACCAAGGAGAUGCUUAUAAAAGUGAUAGUCAAGUACCUUAAGAUGUUACC